AAUGGUAGGGAUAGUUCCAUCAGUACAUGCUUGAGGAACACUAUGUUUGACCACCAAGAUAGGUUACUUCGGUAGAACGUCAGAAAAAUUAUAGCCGGGGUUAGGAUACCUCUCAAGAAGCAACGACAUGGCUUGACACAGUAUAUGCCUCGGUAGGACACAAGAACAGUCAGGACCAUGUACUAAUCGGACGAAAAGUUGGGCCUAUGUCACACCAGUCUCUUCCCGCAUUAGUUCUUCCAGAAGUAAACUGUGUACAGGUUACUAACCUGUGGCUCGCU